CAACACGGAUGUACGAAUUGCCAGGUCUAGACUCACAUCUCCGACAGCUUAAUCUCCAUCAAGCUAAUGCAGCAGAGAGUUUACCGUCUAAAAGGAUACAUCAGGUAAGACUAUAGCCCUAAACCUAUAAGUAUCACAAUUUCUUGGUAUUUGGUAAAAAGCUCAUCCACGGAAACCUUUCUUCUUUGUUUUUUUGUUUUUUUUUGUUUUUCCUUUCAGAUCAUAGUCAAGAGCUAACCUUUCACUGCUUUCGGGCAUCAAUUGCUGGAUUCAGCUCUGUUUACCAAAAGAAAAACGAGGUUAUGAAGACUGAUCAAUAAAGCCGGAUCCGAGUUUGGAUCGCACUCCGACAUAUGGGGCAGACUUGGAGGUCUUCUCCGCAGUCACAACAAGUCUGUCAAAUUGAUGAUGAAAGGGGAAAAGGAUUAUGUCAAUACUCGGUCUCAACAUAUCUAGAUUUAUCUACGCUAUGACUUCUUACAGUACUUGGGUUUUGGACAUAGAUAUGGGAUAUACUCCUCCAAAACUCUCCAAAUACAUGAAAAUCUUAGAAAAAUUGAACAUAGCUAUGUCCAACAUUUAGUACCUGAGCCCAUGUAACAUAGUAGAUUAUAGAUAAAAAAGAGCAAUGGGAAGUAGAGAGUAACUAAC
rnacentral:lncRNA from 1 species